AGAGUUUGAUUAUGGCUCAGAACGAACGCUGGCGGCAGGCUUAACACAUGCAAGUUGAGCGGGAUUAGAUUGGUAGCUUGCUACUGAUUAUGAGAGCAGCGCACUGGUGAGUAACACGUGGGAACAUACCUUUUGGUGGGGGACAACAGUUGGAAACGACUGCUAAUACCGCAUAAGCCCUGAGGGGGAAAGAUUUAUUGCCGAAAGAUUGGCCCGCGGAAGAUUAGGUAGUAGGUGGGGUAACGGCCUACCUAGCCAACGAUCUAUAGCUGGUCUGAGAGGACGAUCAGCCACAUUGGGACUGAGACACGGCCCAGACUCCUACGGGAGGCAGCAGUGAGGAAUAUUGGGCAAUGGAGGCAACUCUGAACCCCCAGCCAUGCCGCGUGAGUGAAGAAGGUUUUCGGAUUGUAAAGCUCUUUCGGACGUGAAGAUGAUGACGGUAGCGUCUAAAGAAGCCCCGGCUAACUUCGUGCCAGCAGCGGC
rnacentral:rRNA from 1 species